AGGAGCUCGUCGAGGCGAGCAGCUGCAGGUCGCGCGCCGCGGUGGCGGGCCAGAGGAGGCGCGGCGGCGUACCGCCUUGCGCUGCCUCUCCCCGGAUGGAGUUGUUCGGGGACGGUCGCGGUGGUAGGCUGGAGGAGGCGAUGCACGCGAGCGCAUCUCCGCGUCGGCGGGGCUCGGGAUCUCCGGUUAACGGCGCCUCCUCCGCCUCGUCCUCCCCUGCCUCCGCACCCGACGAGGACGGCCCAACCUCGGAUCCAACCGCCGUGGUGAGCUCCGGGCGAGCACGAGGUCGACGAUGGUGGUCGACGUUCCUUACAGAGAGAUGCGUGGAGGCGUUCACGACGGGGACGGCCACGGUCGUGGGCUGUUGGAGUGCGCACGGAGGAGGGCGGCGGCGCGCCGGCUUGAGAUGGUCGUUCACAGCCGGCUGGAGCUCGAAAUCUCCUUCUCCAGUUUGUUGUCUGCUCCUCCCUGAACAGCUUCUGGACGAGGCAGAGAAGAGCUGCAGAUCUCGUCAAAAAAGCUGAUGCCCACACAGCCUUAGUAACUCAGCUUGAUUUAGUGAUUUUUUCUGAAGAUCUGAGAUGAAUUAAGCAUGGAUGGAUAGAGGGGCAAUUCCAUCGUUUCAAUUGUAUAUGAUCUUACACUUGUUAUUUCGGAGAUACACUAUGGAAUCAUAUCAUGUGCUUGCAGAGAGUAAUACUGUUGUGUUUCUGCUCAAAAGAUUGUUGGACUCCAUUCAGUUCUACAUGCAUAAUUUCAGCUAUAGUGGUGCUAGGAGAGAGCCAGUUUUUUUCCAUUUACUCAUCCAGUGGAGGUCUCGCAACAGGAGCAGUAUUAAGGUUGAUGUGUCAUCAGAGGUGAUACAUCUACUGGAGGAUUUUUUUCUUCCGUGACCUGUACAAAUCACAUAUAUACUGAUGCAUCUCUUAUUAUUGGGGCUUUCUUUGAAGCUACGGAGAAUUUGGAAUUUGUUUACAGUGCUUCGAAACAUUAUGCACGUGUAUGUAGUCCAUCUUUUCCAUGAGCCCGGACUUGCUCAUGACCCUUGGUACGAAGCUCGGGAGGCAGAAUCAUGGACGGAGUGGCCACAGCGCAAUCCUCACGGCGGAGGGUUUGCUGCAGCGCUGCCGGGCAUCGAGGUAGUCUGAGUGAGGCAGGUCACAAGCCUACCGCCACUCCUUCCCGUUCUCUACUCCAUUUGUUAACAGUACAACAGGCACACUCCCAGGAUAAAGUGACAUUCAUAUAGGAAUAUCAAGUGGGUCAGCAGCUAACUGUUUGGUAGCUCAAGUGAAUGGGAUACUCUUGGAUAUGGUGAGGCCACUGAAAGUCUGUCGGGAGGGUGUACAACUGAGGUUGUGCAGUCUGUUCGUCCUUGAACUGCAAGGGAGAAGGGAGAUAUUAAAGCCCUAAAGGUGCAGGAGUGCAGCUUACACGAAUAAAUACGCUAUUUGUUCUGAUAUAUGGACGGCAGUCUUGCUGAAGGGUGAAGGCAAACAAUGGUAAGGGGUGGGGCGCCGCCGCCACAGAGGAGCCUGAGGAGGUGCCUACGUGGGGCGGUCCCAUGGCUGUGGCUGAAUCGUAUGGCCACCUAUCGCACCAAGGUAAGUUUCCAGGGCCGCCGUUAAGCAAUCCAUGCAGAGUGUUGCGCUUCCUGAGUGCAACCUCGACACCACCGUCCUCUGGAACCCCUCUCCCUCCACAACCCCAGAUUUUUUCCUUACAAAAUUCAUCUCGUCUUGUUGUUCACUUUUUUCCAGGUGGUUUUUGGUUGAGAUAAAAGAGCUCCAAUUACAGUAGACACUUCUUAUGAGAAUCAACCUGGUGAAGGUGUAUGAUUUGUUUCUCCACUCAAUAGACUAGGUAUAAAUUCACUGAGUUUCCAAAUAACCAAAAACUCAUAAUAAAACAGCCACCAUGUAAUCUCCUCUAUAUGAAGAAAAACGAGUAAACCUGCAAAGCAAUGAAUAACACAAGAUGCAAUUCAUAAAGCAAAUCCAGAGAGAGAGAGAGGUGAGGUCAAGAGUGAGGGCAUAUCAUCUUAUUAGAAAUAUGGUGGCUGUUUUUAUACCUAAUGCUCAAUGGCGAAUGCUUAGUUUUAGCUGCAUAACUGACUGUCAAACUAAUUCUGAUGGGUCCUCUACAGGGUACAAAAAUGUUCAUGUUUAACUAGACAUGGUUACGGAUGCCAAUAAGGCUGGUUCUAUUGUUUUACAGUUGGAAUUGAUCAGCUGGGCUGGUGAUGCUGACUGCAGAGCGGCAAUUCCUCUUUCUUACCUCUACACCGUGUAUGUCUCUCCGUCUCUGAUCCCUCCUCAUUUAUUUGAUUACUUAGGUAUGUUACAGAUCACUCGCAAUCAUUUUGGUUACUUACAAGCUGAUGGCACUCAUUUACUUGAACGCCACGUAGCUUUGAUCCAACAAGUUUGGAACAAGAUUAUCGAAGACGCCUGCUGUUUGGCAUCAACGGGGAGAGUUAAGGCUGCUGACCCGAUCAUUAGACCUAGAGAGCCACACUAACUUGUCUUAGCUGAACAACAUCUGCAGUUUUCUCUUUAGAGUUGGUGCCGUUCCUGAUUGCUAUUUGAGCUCCAUGUAAUUCUGUUACUUCUUUUAAUGAUCCUAUAUCAAUGAAAAGCAGUUUUGAAUGCCUUUCUGUCAAGAAACAAUUAUAAAGCAUGCACAUCUUUAUAUAUCUAAUAUUUUCUAAACAAUGUCAGAUUUUUGGGGGAGUUAGUGUGCCCAGACUCUUGGAUCGUUUGUGAUGGUUGAACAAGCUUCUUUUUCCUAUUUUUCUACAUGAUCGAAGAGCCAACAUGCCAAUUCAGUUAGCGUUUGCCUUGGAGUUAAACAGAAUCCCACAUAUAUUGCUUCCAGGUGUACCUCAAGUUCAGGUCCUACUGUCCAGCCAUCUGUUGCAAAAACGCUCAUGUACAUGCCUCCUAGAUUCUAAUUUGGCAUAACACCAGUCUACCCUUUCGGCAGACCAGUAUGUAACAUGCCAGCUAUGUUCAGAAAUCCAAGUUGGUAGAGCAUACUGCAUUUUGUAAAUUUAGAGCAUCAUGAAUCUUAUCUCAUGGUUCAGUUUCAGCUCUCAGGGGGCCUACACUGAAGUAUCAAGACCAUGUGAGACUGCUAAAUCUGGAUGUAUUCACUAUUUGUAUGUUUAGCUGUUAAGUUCAGUGUUUCUUUGAACAGUAGGUGCACCGGGCUACAUAUGUUGUACUAUUUGUUAGGGAUUAAAUCGUACUCUGCUAUAUUUGUGCUACCAAAGAACUCUAUGGUGCAUUGACUUAUGUACAAAUCUGCAGGUACAUCUCUGAAAACAGGAUAGACAAUUAUUCCUGGGAGUUUUACGACUGCUUUGUUGACUCCUGUGUACCCCUCAACUGUUUAUUUGAUUUAGGAGUCAGAAGGCUCCAAGUCAAACCAUAGUAUUGUUAGGAUCAGUUUGAACAUACACAUAACAAGAGGUCUAAGUAGUGCCUCAGUAGCAUGUUUAUUCAGAAUCUACAGAAAAACCAGAGAUCCAAGUUUAUACAGAGAUGUGUGUGCUUAAUGCCUGUUAUCAUGAUUCUGAAGUUUUUCUUUAGAACUAUAGACUGAGGAAACUUGACACAAUUUUUUUCCGCUGGAGCUUCAU